rnacentral:tRNA from 2 species
AAGGCUUUAGCUUAAUUAAAGUGUCUGUUUUGCAUACAGUAGAUGUGGGUUAAUUUCCUGCAAGUCUUA